CUAGGGAACACUGACAAACACUGAGGGAUAACCCUCAAAGCUGCACUACAUGUGCAAUCGAUAAAGGAUCUCAGCCAGACAGCAUGUUUUAUAUUCAUACAUUCACUUGCAGAGAAUAAACCGACUGGAUAACUAAACAUGCUGACAGCCGAGCCUUUCCUCGUUCCCGAUGUGAAAGAAGUUGGUUACUUUUGAUAAGUACAUUGAUUCAGAUAGCAAAUACACAAGCCAUGGCUGUGAUUUGAAUCCAGGAUCUCCUGUUCACUUGGCAGGCCUGAUAGCCAAAAACCCACAGUAACCCCCUCCCAGCGUAACAGCAGAGCAAACUUUACA